rnacentral:tRNA from 1 species
GGUGUAGCCAAGUGGUAAGGCACCAGAUUCUGGCUCUGGCAUGCGCGGGUUCGAAUCCUCCCAC